CUUAAUUAGAUACUAUUUUUAUUUCCGUUUUUCAUUAAAUUUAUAGAAACAAUAAUUACCUACAUGACGUAAAGUUAUUUUUAUCAUAAUUAUGAUCGAUUUAUUCAUUUAUUGUAUUACAAGCACAAUUUGAUAGUCUGUAGUUGUUAAUUUGUUAUUCAUAGGUCACUUCAGCACCAGUCAAUUGAGUAUAUUAUAUAUAAAAAACUGCCUUUAAUUUCUAUUAAAUAACAUGAAUAUAAUAACGAAUAUAACAUAAUAUAAUCUUGCAUUGAAUUAUAUACAAUAAAUAAAACUUAACGAAAAUAUUAAUAUAAAUACAACAUAAUAAGGAACGAAAUAUAAGCAACAGCGUGUGACGUCACGAAGGAACAUGUCGGAUCUUGUUCACAGUGUUCUUCGUUAAGACGCACAUCACUCACAUCAGUGUUUCAGUGUAUUAAUCUUUGAAGUGAUAAAGAAUUUUGUGUCAUAAAAAAGCGUUUCUUGAAAGUAUAAUUAUAUUUUUAUAUAACUUAAAAGUUAUUUGUCGAUUAGCAUAUUAAUGUAAAUAAUAUCAAGAUUAAAUAAGUUCAAUACAAAAACUGAACCAUAUUAAUAUUGUGUUAAACAAAAAAAAAGUGUACUAUAAACUUCUCUCUAGACGUUUGUAUCGGUGUGUAUUGUGUACAUAAUACGAACUUGUGGACUAAUUUAGCUAGAUAAAAAUUUGUGUUGUGUGUAAAGCUUCGUUUUUAUGUUUAAUUACGUAAAACAUUUAAGAUGGUUUUUUUUAUGCAUUAGUUUUAUUUUUAAAUGAUUCAUCCAAUAAAGAAAUUGAUAUAUUGAAUAUCGUGGUACCGGAUGUAAAUAGCCUGAAUCAUUGUUAAAAAGUACUAAGUAUUGUAAAUUAUUACAAACGAUAGUUAAAGAGAAGAAAGAUAAAAAUAAGAAGAAAGAUAAAUAAAAAGAAAGAUAAGUUCAAAUAAGUGGCACAGCAGAAACAAUGGAAGAGGCAGAGGAAAAAUUAAUAAGAUUAAAAAGAACCCCUAUUCUUCUCUACCAAUAAUGAGUAUUCUGCUAAAGCAAAAGCGGCUGCUGUUGAAAAAAGUUUCAAAUUAAAAGCAUUAGCAAAGGAUUGAUUCAAAAUAGAUAAUAUAUUUAGCCAAAUAGCUUUAGAGUUAACUGACGAAUCCACUGAAAUUGCAGAACCUAAGAAAUAGAAGCCAAAAAAAUGUAACCAAAAAAUUGUGAAGAAACAAGCCUAAAAACAUAAUCUCGAAUGGUCAUCUACAUCAAUAGCGUCUUCGAUAUCUUCAUCACCACUGUCAUCGUUAUGUAAACCUAUGAAAAUAAAUAAUGAAACUAAAAAAACGAAUUAAUGACAGUACUAACUACAUUGUUGGCUCAAAAGGAAAAAAAAUUAGUUCAUAAUCCACACCAUGCCACCUUGAUCAUCUUCAUCAUCAACUAAAAGUAGAAAAAUAAGAAAAAUCAAUUCGAGUUUGAAGGACAUAAAUAUGCUUAUGGAAAUAGCACAUGAAGACAGUAUUAUCAGCAACAAUUGCUGAUAAUCCCUUUUCAUCAUCAUCAUAAAUCUGAAACAGAAGCUGAAAUGAAUAUAUUAGCAGCUAGAUCAUCAUCAACAAAAAAUACUGUAUCCAGUGAUUCUUUGCUGGAAUGUAUCAAACAUAAUAACAGUCUAUCAAAACAAUUAGCGAAUUUAAAAGUCCAUAUCUGCUGACGUUCCCAAAUCCUAUCUGAAAUAAAAAAAUAACAGUACUCAGCUGUUAGAUUUCAGUUUAUUAACAGAUCCUGAAGGAAAUCCAGUGGUCCAAAAAUUAGAAUUUCCGUUAUCAACAAUGGAAGAUAUUAUUUUGAUAAAUUCAAUGAAAAAUUAAAAGGCCAAAAAUAUAAAAAUAAAAUGAAUAAACAUAUAUACUUUUCUCUUGAUGGAAAAAAUACUUUUACCCAUAAUAUGGGAAAUAUUACUCGUGUUUAUAUAACAAGAGAUGUCAUAAUUAUGUAGAAGUUAAAGCAACUUCAAAAAAAAGUUUUCAAAGAUACGACUUUUUCACUUCUAUAAAAACUGCAGUAAGACAGAAAUUCGAAAAGAAUCAAGAAAGUAUUUUCGAUAAUAAAUUCCCUCAAGCAUUGUCUGCAGUAUUGAAUAAUGCUAAUAUAUUAAUAAAGAUUGGGAUGGGUACAGGGUAUUCAGGAUCAAAAAACUACCAUCUAAUGAAGAUAAAUAAAAACAACUAAUCGCUUUUAAUUUAUUUACUUUUUUAAAAUCUUUUUUUUUUUGCCAAGCAAACAAAAAGAAAAAUUAAUUCAUAAUAUUUAAUAACAAUCAUUAUUAUUAUUAACUUUAACAUAAAAAUAAUUGAUAUUUAAAGUAAAAACAAAAAUAAAUAAUACAUUUGAAAAAAAAUAAAUGGAAAUAAAUAUGUUUUUUUUUUUCAAUCGGAUAAGUUUUAUUUCUGUUUAAGUGCACAAUAAAGUGUAUUGUUAUGUUAUGUUAAGUUAAAUAUAUAUAAUAUGUUAUUUUAAAUAUACAUAGUAUGUUAAGUAACAUAAUAUAUUUCUUUUUUUUUUUUUCUGACGUGACGUCUAAUAAAUCGAUUAACGCCGGCUUCGUUACGCUCAUAUGUAUGCUUGUGCCGCAUCUAUCUGAUCGGCCUAUGCAUCCGAGGAGAUGUUUUGUUACGACGGUUUGCAGACAACCAAGUUUUUUAAUAAACAAUUUUGUCAAGACUGUACAUUCGUGUUUUAUUUAAAAGGACCGCUCUGGGCAUACUCGAUUUGGAUCAAGCAACCAAGGACCGGACCGUGCAUGCCUGAUCAGGACUAGAUAAGGCAUGUAACGCAAAUGAUGUAUCUGGACCUGACCAGGGAAACCUGAUCAGGUCCAGAUCAGGUAUGACCUGAGAUCAGGAAAA
rnacentral:misc_RNA from 1 species